UUCCGUGUUUGGCUACUAUGAAUGAUGCUGCUAUGAACAUCUGUGUGCAAGUUUUUGUGUGAACAUAUGUUUUCUGUUCUCUCGAGUAUAUAUCUAGGAAUGGAACUGUGAAGUCGUAUGGUAACUGUUUAACGUUUUGAAGAGCUGCCAGGCUGUUUCCCACAGCAGCCGCACCGUUUUACAUUUCCACCAGCGAUGAAUGAGGGUUCCAGUUGCUCCACCAUCGCCGUACAUUUUUGAGUCAAAAAUAGCUUUCCAGCACUUGGCUCAGCAUCUUACAUCUGAAGCUGAAUUACAGAGAUGGGCAUGUUUCAUUGUAAAGUCUUGUCCAGCAGUCUCCUGGCAAAGGCAGUGCUUCAUUCUAGAAUGAAAUGGCCAUUUACAAAGUACCAAGUUGCAAAGGGCCCAAUGGGAGACUCCUUGGCCUUUGAUGUAUCUUGCCUAAGGGAGCCUGCUCUGCUGGGUAGCUUCAGGGCACUUGACGCCAGCCCCAGUCCAUCAUUCUGGGCUGGCUGCCUCGUACAGCUUCAACCAAUGCUAGUUUCAAUCCUUUGGGGGCUCCACAUGAGCUGUUUUAGAGAUAAAUUUGGCUCCUGAGAUUGUUAAAACCUGUAUGUCUCUAAAGAGUAAGUAAAAAGGAAUUCAAGGAAAUGUAAAACAUGCUUUAAUAUCUCAUACCUGACUCUACUGAGGAAUGUUAAAAAAGGAAUUUCCCAUUUGGGACUUUCGGCUGAAGCCCUGUUUCUCUUGCUCUUUUAUUACAUCUUUUCUUCAUUUGUAAUUUAUAUAGGUUUCUGUUUGCAAUUCAAGUUGAAUCUUUUAUUUUAAUGAGGAUAUGGAGUGAGACGAUGUGAUAAUGAAAACAACGUGCAUUUCAAGUAUUUUGAAAAAACUUCCUUAGUUUCUGCAAGGUCAUCUUUGUGUUUCUUCUGCUUUAUCAGCCUUAAUGAUAUCAAGGCUUUAAGCAAGAUUCAGAUGAAGGGCCUGCUUUACCAGCUCACCUAUGAAUAUGGAAGCAUCAGCUUACUUUUUGCAGCACAUGUGUCUCAGGGGGUUGUCCCUUCCCACAGUGUGUAGAUUGGCAUCGAGAUGACGUUCUCUCUCCAGGGUGCAGUGAUGACCGACAUAUGCAGUGACAUGGUAGCCUGUCACCUGGCCGGAGAUGGCAUGGGAGAUGGAAACGGGACCAAGCUGAGCCAGUGAGGCUCCUGCCUGAAGUUUUUACUGGAAAUGGGAGGACACACAUGUUCUCUUUCACUACUGUUCUUAAGCUGGCAGGGGGUAAAGCAAGCUCAUGGAGGUCAGUCAUCAAUGGCACCAUCAGCAGAGACCCCGCUGAAGCACGAAGCCAGUGCAUGGGAAGGCACGCGGAGCAAGAGGGAGUCCGGGCGCCAUUGCUGGAGCAGCCCCUGAAGCCGGUGGGUCCUGGGACUGUUCCAUUGUGUGGGCCAUUUUUGCUUGAGUUGGACUUUUUUCUUACAACUAAAAUGCAGCCCUAAAUAAUACAGUCACUUUCUUUUUUAUAUUAGAAUUUAAAUAUUUUAGACAUAUUUCUCUGUUUAAGCACAUAUGCCCCUUAAUACCUAACACAAUACCAGUGACUACCUCCUUACAGAAUCACUGAAUCUUGCUUUCAUAUGAGAAAGUGAACAGUUUCCACUCCUGUCUUAAAUGUUUCAUUUAGCACUUGAGAAUAGAAUAAGUGUCGCACAUGAAAGGUUUCAUGUGCAUAAAUAAUGAGAAGAUGCUGAAGUGAGACCAAAAUCAACUUCCCAGCAAAUUCAUUCUCCAUCACACAAUUUCAUACCAGAAUGACUGAGUUCUAAGGUCAUACAAUCACAGUCGUUGUAAGUGUUAAUGGGAGAGAGAGAGAGAGAGAGACAGAGAGAGAUACUGAAUUCAAUCUAAAUUCCAAUCUCCAAUUCUCCUCCAUCAGAAUUGGGAGCACCUCCCUCCCCAUGUAAUCACUGGGGGUGAAACAAGAUCAUAGUAGUUUCCAUGGGCUGCCCCUGGUGGAGCCAAGACAGGCCCCUGAACACCCCUGCUGCCAGAUUAAUUUUCCCAAAGACUAUUUUCCAUCAUGUUUCUUUGCAUCUUGGAUACCUGUAAUUGGUUAAUGCAUUUGGCAUUAACCAAUGAGUCUCACCCUUGAGUGUGAAGCAUGCCCCUCACCCACCAGGAUUUGGGGAGUUGCUGGGAGGGCAUGUCUUCGUUGAAAACAAAGGGCUGUCACAUUCCAUUGCUUUUGAGUUACACAUAAUUUCAUUUUGAAAUUUGAAAUCAUAUUAGAGAAAGGCUUAUUAUUUUUUGUUAUACUGGGCAUAUUUUAGAAAUGGUUGAGAAGUACUGGCUUAAAUAAUGGGUUGCCAAGGCCCUCCAUAAGCCACUUCUUCCCAUCUAUUUUCUUACCAGAAGACAGCAGGCAGAGGGUUGGCUCACCAAAGCCCACCUGGGCCAGCUCCUUUCUAUCCCAGGGGGUGUGUCUCUCUGCUUUCUCCCCUCCCAACUAAACCUUAGUCAUCGUAAACCUCAGCCAGUUCAUGCUUCUCUUUCUUGCUAAUUCCAGCCUACCCAGAACUGUAUUUGUCAGACCCACUUAGAACUUAAUUAGCUUGACUUUGAAAUGUAUGCUAAUUUAACAUCUUCAACUAUAUCAUUAAGAGCCAAGCCAUUUCUCAUUUCCUCUGUUUUUCCUAUACUACUUAGCACAGUGCUAGACCUAUAACAAGCAUCUGUUCUGAAUCAAGAGAGAGGUUAAAAGAAGUGGCAUUUUCUUACAUCUGAGAUAUUAUUCAAAAUAUUUAACAACGUUGCCAUGGGACACCUGUCCAUCAGAAUGGAGUUGGAGGCCUAGAGCUACACUGCACUUAACACUUUGCUGAAAAAUAGAAGCAGCCUGAGAAUAGUAGGGGAGGGGAGGGUCUCAGGCUGCCCAGGAUGGGGAGAACCGGCUGAAAUGAAACACAUUCUAUUUACCACUAAUUAAUUUGAAUAGUAUCUCUGCUUCACUAUUUUUCAGUGUAAAUAGUAUCUCUGACAUGCUAGGGAGCUUAGGAAAAUGAUUCUAACAUCAUAUAAAUGACAGGUGUUGCUAUUAAGAAUGACUCAAGACUUGUGUUUUUGGUACUCUACAUGCCAUUCAUUCAUUCUUUCUACUAAGAGUAAUAGAAAGAAUGAAUGGCAUGUAAGGUAGACAUAGAGCUGCUCUAGAGCUCUAUGUCAGCAGUUGUAUGCCAACAGGAAAUGUGGUAUUUUAAUACUUCCGAAGGGUCUCUGCCCCUCCUGUGUGUACGACACAUCCUUGCAGGAGCCCACCCUUUAUCUUAUCUAACUUGUAGGGAGCCUGGCACAUCCAG
rnacentral:lncRNA from 1 species